UACGUAGGUGGCAAGCGUUGUCCGGAAUUAUUGGGCGUAAAGCGCGCGCAGGCGGUCCUUUAAGUCUGAUGUGAAAGCCCACGGCUCAACCGUGGAGGGUCAUUGGAAACUGGGGGACUUGAGUGCAGGAGAGAAGAGUGGAAUUCCACGUGUAGCGGUGAAAUGCGUAGAGAUGUGGAGGAACACCAGUGGCGAAGGCGGAUCUCUGGGCCGUAACUGACGCUGAGGAGCGAAAGCAUGGGGAGCGAACAGG
rnacentral:rRNA from 1 species